GGCUCGCCACUUUUGGUCAGCUAUCAUUUCAGGGGAGAGACCCCAUUCUACUAGUUCUUCCUCACUGUGAUGGAUUGCUAAGCUGUAUUCUCCGCCCUUUCCUAAUUGCAUCACUUGAAAUUCGCAAUUUCCAAGAUUGUUUAGGUGCUCGAAUUGCUCAACCGUCCACUUGAACCACUUCAUGAGGAAGACGCGUGCCGUUAACCCGUGUGAUAUUAUUAUAAGAUUGAGGUCAUGGCAAGGGUCAUGACGAAGCCUGUUCAUGUCAAUGUCCCUCCAUAAUGAUUCAAGAAAACCUGCAAUUAUCUUUGUUAUUAGGCAAUAUAUUCAUUUCGAUAUAGAAAGCUGUAAAUCCAAAACCUUUAUCCAACAAUCAAAUACAUACAUAAGCAAACUUUUCAGAACCUCCAUAUGUUCAUCUCAUCAGCAAGUGUGAUUUCACGUUUACAUUACAAAUCUAAAGCUGCAUUUCAUUGGAAUCUAGUUUCACAAAUUUAAAAUUGAGAAAAUUCAAAGACUAGUGGUCUGGUUCACAAAACUGCAGAGAGUGAAAGCAUCUUAUAGCGGUUACUUUAUUAAAUUGGACUUCCAUGCCAUCCACCACUUUCUAACCAUGGAUUAUAAUCUCUUCAAUAACCUCUUCACUAUGUGUAAAGCACUACUUCAAUCAUCAUUAGACACUUGGACAAUACUUUUUGGUUCCAAAGAAAAGCAUUAUUCACAGAAUGCAAUUUCCAAAUGGAAAGCUUCUUUCUAAAGAUCCAGAGGUACUAAAACGUCAAGCCAAGCUUGAACAUAUUUAAGAUUCAACCUCAAACCCUGCUAAUUAUCUGAACGUUCCACUUAAGGUUUCAUCAACUUCGAAACCACUCCACUCAGAAUAAAAAAUGGAAUGCAAAAUAACCCAACAAAACAAAGUUAAGUUUUGGAUUUUACCACAGACACAAAAAAACUACCAAAUUCCCAAUUGGGUUAUCUUGCAAAUCCUAAACCAUCACUUUAAUUAUGCCUCACAUUGCCAAAAUGCUCAUCAAAACAAAAACAAACAACAAAAGCAAAAACCCAAAAAGAAAAAAACGUACUUGAAACACGAUCGUAGACAUCAGCGGCGGACUCUCCCUCCGGAUUCCGAAAGAAGAAGCGGCCAAACUUCUCCUUGGUCUCCUUAAUGGCCUUGAUCCGAACCUGCGAUCGAAAGUUGCCGAAGUCCUGCUCCCGUAGCCGGCACUCCUCGCGGACGCCGAUGACACGUGUCCGGGAGAAGGACCGUCCGAUCUGACAAAGCGUGGAGCGCGUCCUCUCGUAGGGAGAGACGUAGAAGUAGACGCGCCAGUUGGGGCUGUUGGUGUCGAUGUCGGAGAUGACGCGGUGGAGGUGGGCGCCGGCGAGGUGGGCCUGGGCCAGGCCCACCUCCGUUAGUGGGAUUUUGUUGUGGGGUGUGGUGGAGUAGGUGGCGAGGUCUAUAUUGGCCUGAGACUCACCGUGCCGCAUUAAGAUUAUCCGCUUGGGAAGAACUGGCUGCGGUUUGCUGUUGCAAUUUUGCUGCUGCAUUUUAUGAUCCUCUUGUCUUGUCUUUGUCUUCUGGGUCUUGAGAUCUUGGAUUUCAAUUUCUCUUUCUCUUUAGCAGUCUGAAUGUGAAUCUCUUUGUCUGUCUGUCUCUCUCAGAUUCUCAGUCUGAGAAAUAAGAAAGUGAAAUGUGUUAGCUCUUUGGUCGUGUGGGGUUUCUUUCUUUGCUCGUUGUUCUAUUUUGAUGGACAAUGCGACAAUUUAUAGGCUUCUGGGUUUCUUCUCUUGCGCAAUUUAUAGGCUUCCCCAAAUCUCCUCCUCCUUUUUUCAUAGUUGUAUUGAAUUCUUUAUUCAAAACACGUCACAUUUGAAUUGAAUCCUUCACCUGAAUUGAAUUGGUGGACUCUAGUUAUAAAUAUUUGGUACUUUUCUUUUGUUCUAAUUGUGUAAUUUUGACAUGGGAUGCAACGUGUGCAAAUGAAUUAUGAAUAUGCAACUUUUUUAGGCAAGUUUGUUGCCUUUUGAUGAUGGUUGAACCUUGUACUAAUUUUAAUAACAUUGUGACAGUUGAUAAUGCAUGGACAUCCCCAACGGCAAGGAAAUAAUAAAAUCCAAAGAAGAUUCAAAGAGAGUCAUGCCCGUAAACCAAGAAAUAUUCCACUCUUUGGAAAGUUUGAGCAAAUUGUGGGUUGGGUUGUACAAAUCCUUCCACACGUCAAAUGUUUGUCAUCAGCUUUUGCUACUUGUACAAGUCAAGACAUUCACAUAAAUGUUUUAUACAUGGAUUGUGUAAUGGGUUUUGAGCUGGAAUGCCGUGCGUUUUCCAUGUCUUUUUACCCCUUUUAUUAAGGAAAAAAGAAGAAGAGUAAGAGCACUUUUGACUUUUCGGGUUUCAUUUGUGCCGAUUUUGCAACAUGUUUCAAGAUGAUGAGCUUUUCAGUGAAUCCAACGGUGCAGGAUAAAAAUAGAAAAUGAAACAACAUGAUGGAGACGCGGGGAAUCGAACCCCGUGCCUCUCGCAUGCGAAGCGAGCGCUCUACCAUAUGAGCUACGUCCCCUUUGAUGUUCACUCUCGUUUAACUUUAACAUUUAAACGACACCGCAUAGCGUUUGAAAGUAAAAGCUUCGUCGAUGGCUUCAACAUCACAUCGGGAAUUAUAUCUCAGAUAAAUUUGAUCCCUCCUCCAGCUAGCCUACUUUACGCAUUAUAUUAAUUUAUUGUCACUUGUUUUCUCAACCGCUUCAACACACAACAAUUAAGGUUGGCCAUUUCAAACUGUUGAUCGGUCAUAUCGGACCCAAUUGGCUGAUCUAUAUUUGCUCCGCUGAGACUUCCGGGUAGAUGGUCGGUUUGGGCUCAAAACCCAGCCCUAGCUCAAUCCACAGCUGUGGCAUAGUUUCCUCCCAUCAAUUUGGAUAACUACCAAUAGGAUGUUCAAGCUAACACAAGUGUCGAUAUGUCCGAGUGGUUAAGGAGACAGACUUGAAAUCUGUUGGGCUUCGCCCGCGCAGGUUCGAACCCUGCUGUCGACGAUUUUGUUAGAGAAACCUAACCUUUUUUCACUACAUUAAUUCAUGUUUAUAUUAUGAGAUGGAGAACGAAUUUAUACAUUAAUUCGAAAAUGUAAUAAACAAGUAUAUACAUAUGGGUCAAUUAGAUCUUAACCCAAAUUUGAAAUACUUAGCCACCUAAGAUUCACCUAAAAUUUCACUUCUUUAUUUUUUUAAUCUAUUCAAAUAUUAACUUGAGUGUAUUUUUAAUUUUUCAGUUGUAACAUCCAGACGAAAACAUCCUGUAAUUAAUUUGACAUCUUAUAAUAAGUGUGUGCUAGCGCAAUAAUAUAGAACACAUGGAUGUAUUUCUAUUCAUCAUCUGCACAUGAUCAAACAAAAGAGAUGCAUCAAACUCAUUGAUUAAUGUGAAUUGAUUAACGUGAAUUGAACCACGAUUUAUUCGUUACUUAAUCUUGUGAAUGCAAUUUAUUUACAUGGUUUAUCUGGAUUGAACCACGUGGAUGAUUAGCUCUAGCUUAUCUGCAUGGUUUACACAAGUUUUUUUUUUUUUUUUUUAAUAAUUAUUUUGGGGUCUAAAGUUAUUAUUUAGAUUUUAGACUUUAAAUUGUUGCCCAAAUUUUGAUUCAUAAAAUCAGAGAAAAAUUUACAUAUAACGGGGAUGUCAUAGUGGAGGUAUUGCAGUGUCGAGAAAUUGCACUACUAUGUCGAAAAGUUAAAAUACAUGACAAUGAGUGAUUAAUUUGAAAUAACGUCACAGUAAUAUCCCAUAUGUAUAGAUAAAUUGUUCUCCAAUUAUCUAAUCAAAAUUAUAAUUAUUUUUUUCCUUUCGGACUAAUGCACACGUCUUAAAUAACCUCAACAAAAAUCACAUGAAGCUCAUGACUAGUUAGGUAAUAGCUUUUUACUUACUAGUUGUUUUACAUGAAAACAUUGAGUGUGGGAUGUUUUGAAAAUUCAAGGCCAGCAAACGAUAUAAUAUAGAGAUAAGAAGAUAUAUAUAUAUAUAUAUGAUGGUGAUGUAUGUGGAACAUUGGCAGAAUAUAUACAUAUAUGGUUAUGGACGCUAUGGUUUACACUGAUCAUCAAAGAGACUCUUGUGAAAGAGGUCUAAAGGAAUGGAACUUACUAUUAUAUUAGUGUAUACGAUGUUGCAGGUUUUAUUAAUUAAUAUUUUUUUUCUUGGAACAACAGUGAACUUUCAAUUUUCAGAUAUACUUCAUGAAAUUUGGUAGGGGCAAAUCGUAUAUCAUCCAUUGUACACAAAGAGAUGCUAAAUUAGUUUGCUUGUGUCUUCUCAGCAUUUGCUAGAUUAGUUUGCUAUCUUGUAUUUAAAUUGAUCAUUAGAGAAAGUCUUGUGAACAAGGUCUAAAAUAAUGGAGUUUAUUAUGACAUUUACGUGUGCAAUGUUGUAGUAUUUGUGUUGAAACCAAGAAUAUUGGAUGAACUAGUGACUGUGCCACGGUCUAUCACCAAUGAAUAGAGCUUGUUGGAUUUCUGACAUUAUAUCUUAUGUAUGAAGGUUAAUGGUAAAUGGCAAGUAAAGAACUACCAAGAGCAAGGAAACUCAAAAUUGGACUUUCGAAAAUUGCAUUGCAGUUUCGGAAAUUGCAUUGUAGUUUUCAUUUAAUUACAAUUAAAUUUUUGCUCUUUCCUUGGUCUUCAACCUCACCAAUUUGAAGAGUAGAUGCUAUCCAGAUGAGGAAUUGAGGCAAGAGAAAAGUAGAACUACCCAAGAGCAAGAGAACUCAAAAUUGGACUUUUGGAAACUGCAUUGCGGAUUCGGAAACUGCAUUGCAGUUUUGGAAACAACAUUAUAGUUUUCAUUUAAUUACAAUUUGAUUUUUGUUCUUUCAUUGGCCUUCAACCUCACCAAUUUGAAGAGUAGAGGCUACCUAAAUGAGGAAUUGAGUGGACAAGAGAAGAUUAGAACUACCCAAGAGCAAGGGAACUCAAAAUUGGACUUUUGAAAACUGCAUUGCAGUUUUCAUUUUUACAAUUUGAUUUUUGUUCUUUUCUUGGCCUUUAAUCUCAUCAAUUUGAAGAGUAGAGGCUACCCAAAUGAGGAAUUGAGUGGGUAAGAGAAGAUAGAACUACCCAAGAGCAAGGGAACUCAAAAUUGGACUUUUGGAAACUGCAUUGCAGUUUUCAUUUAAUUUCAAUUUGAUUUUUUGUUCUUUCCUUGGCCUUCAACCUCACCAAUUUAAUUACAAGUUGAUUUUUGUUCUUCCCUCGUUUUUUUUUAACAUAAUUGAUAUUUACAUUGUAUUUUUGUUGCAGUUUCUAUUUUUAUUUGCAGUUUUUGUGUGAUUAAGUGUUGAAAUUAUUAUUAUUUUUUUAAACCGUUGAUUAUUUAUAUAAAUAUUGUAUAAUUGAAUAAAUAUUACAAAAUCAAGUUUGGUGUAGUGGUUUGUGAGUGAGCCUUUCCUCCUUCGAGGGUCAAGGUUUGAGUCCCUUAAUGACACAAAAUAUUUUUUUUUAAAGUGAAUAAAUGGCAAUGAAGUUGGUCUUCAGACGGUGGCAGGCCGGCGGCGGGUGGCCAGGGACGGUGGCUAAAUUAUUGACAUGUGGCAUAGUGUACUUGCCUUUAAAGGAGUGACAUUGUGGGUAAUUUUGAUGUUUUUUAAUUACAUUAUUAUAAAAUUAGGUACUACUUUUUGAUUUUGGCCUUAUGCUAAUUAAGUGAAAUUGUAUUUCUAUCUUCCAAAUUAGUAAACUAUAUAAUGUCUUAAAAUGAAAGCUCUCUAUUUUAAUUUAGCCUUCCAAGAAAAAGCAAUAGAGGCCAAUUGUGUGCGGCUUGAGCCCAAACUAAGGACCACAUGUUUGAUUAGUUUGCCACCUAAAAUCAGUCAAGCAUGCAAAUUUCAUUCCUUCAACAAAUCCAAACUACACAACCCUAAUUUAGCCCAUCGAAUCCUCACAACAAAGAAAUCAGUAAAAUUCUGAACUCCAAUUGAUAUUGCUAAUUUCUAUUUCCAGCAUUCAGGAGAUACUAUGAACAUACAACAAUUAACUACAUGUUAAAUCAAAAGAAUUCCCAACCCAAUUGCUGAGGAGCCUAGUUUAUAUGCUAAAAGAAUCAGUUUGGUUUCAAGACUCGCACAAUCAAUUUGAUUGCUGAAUCUUUUCAUCAGUUUCAUGCCAAAUGUCUUCACUUUCUCCGCUGUCUUCCGACUCAGCUAGACGGUCGAAAAAAGUAUCAAGGUACCAGGGGCAACGCUCAUUCCAAUCACCCCUGUUGGCAUGGGCUCGCCACUUUUGGUCAGCUAUCAUUUCAGGGGAGAGACCCCAUUCUACUAGUUCUUCCUCACUGUGAUGGAUUGCUAAGCUGUAUUCUCCGCCCUUUCCUAAUUGCAUCACUCGAAAUUCGCAAUUUCCAAGAUUGUUUAGGUGCUCGAAUUGCUCAACCGUCCACUUGAACCACUUCAUGAGGAAGACGCGUGACGUUAACCCGUGUGAUAUUAUUAUAAGAUUGAGGUCAUGGCAAGGGUCAUGGCGAAGCCUGUUCAUGUCAAUGUCCCUCCAUAAUGAUUCAAGAAAAC
rnacentral:lncRNA from 1 species